CCUACGGGUAGCAGCAGUGGGGAAUAUUGGACAAUGGGCGAAAGCCUGAUCCAGCCAUGCCGCGUGUGUGAAGAAGGCCUUCGGGUUGUAAAGCACUUUCAGUGGGGAAGAAAGCCUUGGGGCUAAUACCCUCGAGGAAGGACAUCACCCACAGAAGAAGCACCGGCUAACUCCGUGCCAGCAGCCGCGGUAAUACGGAGGGUGCGAGCGUUAAUCGGAAUUACUGGGCGUAAAGCGCGCGUAGGCGGUCUGAUAAGCCGGUUGUGAAAGCCCCGGGCUCAACCUGGGAACGGCAUCCGGAACUGUCAGGCUAGAGUGCAGGAGAGGAAGGUAGAAUUCCCGGUGUAGCGGUGAAAUGCGUAGAGAUCGGGAGGAAUACCAGUGGCGAAGGCGGCCUUCUGGACUGACACUGACGCUGAGGUGCGAAAGCGUGGGUAGCAAACAGGAUUAGAUACCCCAGUAUC
rnacentral:rRNA from 1 species